CGCAGCCGCGGUAAUUCCAGCUCCAAUAGCGUAUAUUAAAGUUGUUGCAGUUAAAAAGCUCGUAGUUGAAUUUCGGGAUUGGCGCAUCGGUCGUGCCUCACGGGGUAUGAACUGGUGCAGUCAAUUUCUCACCUUCUGGAGAACCGCGAUGUCCUUAAUUGGAUGCCGCGGGGAACCAGGACCUUUACUUUGAAAAAAUUAGAGUGUUUAAAGCAGGCAUUUUUGCUUGAAUACAUUAGCAUGGAAUAAUAAAAUAGGACGGCAUGGUUCUAUUUUGUUGGUUUCUAGGACCACCGUAAUGAUUAAUAGGGAUAGUUGGGGGCAUUAGUAUUCAAUUGUCAGAGGUGAAAUUCUUGGAUUUAUUGAAGACUAACUACUGCGAAAGCAUUUGCCAAGGAUGUUUUCAUUAAUCAAGAACGAAAGUUAGGGGAUCGAAGACGAUCAGAUACCGUCGUAGUCUUAACCAUAAACUAUGCCGACUAGGAAUCAGACGAUGUUAAUU
rnacentral:misc_RNA from 1 species